UGGUCAUGAGGUGCCGGUCGGGGAACUCGCUAAGGGAAAGCGGGGGCGUCCGCGAAAACCUCUUACAGUGACAUGUGAUUGUGACGUACUGGUCCAGAUGGUUCAGAAGCCACGCAAGGUGAGAGAUUACCUGGAGGAGUUCUUGGAUACAGCCAAGAGGUGCCAACCGAAGCCAGCCGAGGAGUGGUGUCAUCUGUUUAAGGCUGGACUACGUGGAGAUAUUCGUGAAGAGCUCGUUGGAGUUCUGGAGCCUCUGGAAUUUGCAUUGGUGAGAAGGAUGGCCAACCAAGCACUGCACGCGGAGGAGUGGUUGGCGGAAAGUGAGGCGGAGGCCGAGUAUGAUCGCGUCGCAGAGGGCGAUGAAGACCUUGGAUCCGAGACCCGCUGCCCCUCGCCAUGUCAAUGUGGCUAGACGAGAUACUAGGGACGAUUCGUAGGAGUAGGACACGUGUUUCGCUAUUGGUUUUAUUUCAUUUAUUGGUUAUUGGAGUUGGUGUUCUUUCCAUUCGUUACGGCAUUCUGUGUUUUGUGCAGAUGUGCUGGGUUUUCUCUUACAAACUAUUGUAGUCCUACUCCUUUUAUUUAUGACAUUCAUUCGUUGGUUUUAAAGAUUCCAGUAGAGUUAUCAUGCUUUGUAUGCCUCCCUUGAUUGUUGUGUGAAUGUGUGAAUUCAUUUCGGUAACGAACGAUUGGUCUGAAAGAUGUGGGCUUUGGAAUUCGGGGACGAAUUCCGAUUAACGGGGGAGGAUUGUAACGGCCCGGUUCCUGGCCCAUAAAAUUUCCCAAAGAAUAUGGGCUUCUCUACGGCCCAUUUGGCAAAAACCUAGGGCUUCCCUUCCCCUCUCCUUUAAAAAGAGAUGCAGCCUCCCUUUUUGCCUCAUCACAAAUCUGAAGCGAAGCUCUGCAGAGAACUCCCGGAGGCCGAAAACCCUAGCCGUCGAGCUCUCUCCCCUUCUCUCCUGCGCCGCCUCUCUCUCUUCUCUCUCUCUCCCGCGCGUCGCUCUCUCUCUCCUUGCCGUCACCCUCUCUCUCUCCUCGCCGUCGCACGCUCUCUCUCUCUCUCCCUCUCGCCGGCGCCGUGAAAUGGUGGUGGUGACCAGAUCUCAACCUUCUUAAAUCCUUGUUUCCAGAUCCAGAUCCAGAUCUAGACUAAGGUGGAGUGUCUCGAACCCAACUUUCUCUCAUGAUUCUGUAUACUCCUUUAUGUUGGAGUUAGGUUGUUUAGACCCUGUUUGAGAGUUAGGAUGAUAGAACAGGAUAACUGCUAGGAUGAUAGAUGAGUGAAUCAUGAUGCAUAAGAACCUCAUACUGUUAACGGGACUUGAUGAACUGAUCUAUGUUGUGGUUGAUGAGUGAUGCUUGUAUGUUUGGAUGUUUAGUCCCAUGUAUGGUUUGUGAAUAAAGCUAGGGUGCUAGAAAGAAUGAAUGCUAAGAUGAUAGAUGACUACUAAUUGCUAUUGAUAUGGUAAGUGAAACUUGAGUGCAAUGUGUAUUGUGUGUGACACCGAUAACGGGUGGCGUCUAGUGAGUGAGUCCAAGUACAAGUCUAAGUGAAAAGGGAAAGUAAAUGAAAAAUGGGAAGGGAUAAGUGUAAAUGAUAAGGAUGUGAAAGGAUAAGUGAAAGUAUAGAAGAAUAACGUAAAGGUUAAGCAUGGGUGGGAUCAUAUAGAGAGUCUAAGGAAAGUAAGUGGGGUAGUAGUCCACGCUAGGCUACCCAUAGGAGAUGUGGCCAAUCCACAUGAAUAUGGGGUAGUAGUCUAGUUGGGGUUACCCACUGAUGAAAAGGAUGAAAAGAUGAAAAGGAUGAAAAGAGGAAAAGGAUGAAAAGAUGAAAAAGAUGUGCAUUGUAGGGUUUUUAGAUCAUGGUCGGGUAACAGGGAGUUAAAGGUGUCAUAGGAUUGAGUUGGAAUGGGAAGAUGAGUCGGUUGAAGUCUAGGGUUUGACGUGUGUGGCAAUGAGUGAGAUCAUUGUAUUGAUUGAUCACUAGGUUGUUAGAAAUGAAUGGAAGUGAAUGUGGAAAUUACAGAUGACGAUAGGAAAUGAUAAAAAUGCAUUAACUGAUUGUAGUGGCUAGUCAGUCCUAGUUCCCGCAUAGAGUAGUAUAGAGUGUCAUGCGGGCAGGCUGGUCUAGAACCACUUCACUGAGUAACUUGUUGCUCACCCCUCCAUUUCCAUUUUUUCCCUGUGCGCAGGACUGUAAGUAGAAGUAUAUGGAUGUGGGUGUGACGGUUUUUCAAAGAAGGUUAUGCGCUCGUCUCUCGGGACCAGUAACGGGACACGUAGGGUUGUCUAAAUGAGUAGACACGUGUCCAUAACGCCCCUUCGAUAACCCCGGUCGGACGCCGGGGGAUCGGGCUGUUACAAUUGGUAUCAGAGCGGGUUAAGAUCCCUUAGUUCUGUCCUAAGGGAUCAGCAUUUCCGACGUUUUAAAAAAAAAAAAAAUCGUUUUCGAAAAAAAAAAAAAAAAAAUUAUUUCGUUAUUACUAAGUGUUUUCGGAUUGUGAAAGAUUAUUUGAAAAUCCCACGAUAUCCAUACUUCUAUUAUGGUUCUGAUUGAAAUUUUAUUGCAGGAUGUUUUCGCUUGACCAUUACGAGUGGAGGAUGCCGCGUAUGCACUACGGACGGAGGAACACCAGGGAGUAUGCCCAAAGGCGUCACUAUGACAUGGAGGGUAACUUGGUGCUACCCAUGUUUCCGGAUCCUGAAGAGCAGUACAGGGAGUUUCCAUUCAGGUACCCGCACGAGCAGACUGUGAGGCAUAAGGUGUUGAUGCCACAUUUCCAGAGGAUGGCUAUGGAGGAACGUCUACUGCAGGGCAAUGCGAGGUUCCAGCUUGCAACCGAAGAGGGGCCCCCGAGGAAGCGUGGCCGUCCAUGCAAGCCGCCAAGUGCAGUAGGGGGACCCCCAAGGGUGUUCACCGGAAAGUGCCAGUGUGGAGUGCUGAUCAAGAAUGCUCAGGAGGACCGAUCAGUCGCUGGAUACACCGAGGACUUCAUCAACCAAGCCAAGCUGUGAAAACCGAAGAAUGCAGAGACGUGGUGCAUAUGGUAUAAGAACGGGCUUCGUAAGGAACUCCAGGCGCAGUUGAGGGGUGUUUUGGAGCCCCUGGAGUUCGCGCUAGUGAGGCGGAUGGCAGGCUUCGCCAUGGAGGCAGAAGAGAAGAUUGCAGCCGAUGUGGCCGCUCUCUCGAGCAUGGAAGGAGGAAACCCGGGUAAGGACGUCGAUGGUCAUGAGGUGCCGGUCGGGGAACUCGCUAAGGGAAAGCGGGGGCGUCCACGAAAACCUCUUACAGUGACAUGUGAUUGUGACGUACUGGUCCAGAUGGUUCAGAGGCCACGCAAGGUGAGAGAUUACCUGGAGGAGUUCUUGGAUACAGCCAAGAGGUGCCAACCGAAGCCAGCCGAGGAGUGGUGUCAUCUGUUUAAGGCUGGACUACGUGGAGAUAUUCGUGAAGAGCUCGUUGGAGUUCUGGAGCCUCUGGAAUUUGCAUUGGUGAGAAGGAUGGCCAACCAAGCACUGCACGCGGAGGAGUGGUUGGCGGAAAGUGAGGCGGAGGCCGAGUAUGAUCGCGUCGCAGAGGGCGAUGAAGACCUUGGAUCCGAGACCCGCUGCCCCUCGCCAUGUCAAUGUGGCUAGACGAGAUACUAGGGACGAUUCGUAGGAG
rnacentral:lncRNA from 1 species